UGAUGAGGAUGAGCCUCGUCAUCACGCUGGCCGGAGGCAUGGAAGUGGGCUUGCCCUCUCUGGCAUCGGACUCCAUCUCCACCUUCACGCACUGCCCCUCCCUCUCGUCCCCUUGCAGCACCCCAGCGUUCCCGAAGGCGUCGGUUCGCCGGAAAUUCUAAAGGCGCCUUUCCGGUCCACUGCGGAACGAUGGCCAAGGAACUGCGUCCGCUCAUGAGCGUCGCCGUCGGCAUGUCUAUCAUAAUAAAUUUUAUUCAUUUAACUUAAA